rnacentral:rRNA from 1 species
CCUACGGGAGGCAGCAGUGGGGAAUAUUGGACAAUGGGCGAAAGCCUGAUCCAGCAAUGCCGCGUGAGUGAUGAAGGCCUUAGGGUUGUAAAGCUCUUUUACCAGGGAUGAUAAUGACAGUACCUGGAGAAUAAGCUCCGGCUAACUCCGUGCCAGCAGCCGCGGUAAUACGGAGGGAGCUAGCGUUGUUCGGAAUUACUGGGCGUAAAGAGUACGUAGGCGGUUAUUCAAGUCAGAGGUGAAAGCCCGGGGCUCAACCCCGGAACUGCCUUUGAAACUAGAUAGCUAGAAUCUUGGAGAGGUCAGUGGAAUUCCGAGUGUAGAGGUGAAAUUCGUAGAUAUUCGGAAGAACACCAGUGGCGAAGGCGACUGACUGGACAAGUAUUGACGCUGAGGUACGAAAGCGUGGGGAGCAAACAGGAUUAGAUACCCUGGUAGUCCACGCCGUAAACGAUGAUAACUAGUUGUUCGGGCACUUGGUGCCUGAGUGACGCAGCUAACGCAUUAAGUUAUCCGCCUGGGGGUACGGUCGCAAGNUUAAACUCAAAUGAAUUGACGG